GAUUGUAUGUGUUUGUUAUGGGAAACCUCCCAACUUGGAUUUUAUGGUUGCAGCAGAUACAAUUAACUGUCUCUGGAAACAUCUUCCAAGUCUAAUACUGCAUUACCUUUUCUCUUGAAUCACUUAUGUCUGUGUUAAUAUUGGAUAUUUCUAAGGAGGUGGCAAUUGUCCUGAUCAGAAAUAUAUUUUAAGUGGCCUUUUAAAAAGCCAGAGAUAAAAGAGCAGAGAGGAAAUUAUCUGCUUCUUAUCUGAAGGAUAAUGAAAAGUGAAGAAUGAUGACACUCUUAGUGAGCUAGGCCAGAUGUCAUAAUUAGUGUAGCUCAUCAUAAGCAUUUUAGAGCUAAAAUAGAGCACAGAAAUAAUCUAAACCUCUUUUUCUUUCUUUCUUUCUUUCUUUUUUUUUUGGCUGAGCCUGAAGCAUACCAAAGUUCUUAGGCCAGGGAUGGAACCCAAGCUACAGAUGUGACAAUGCUGAAUCUGUAAUGUCCAGGCCACCAGAGAACUCUUAAACCUACUUUUGAAUUUCAUAAAUGAGGUACUGUUGUGAAAUGGCUACCCAAAUUAGUCAGCUAUGCAGUGAGGCUUCAAAUCUGUAUCUCAAGAACUCUCUUUCAGCUGCUAUUGCUGAAUGGAGUCAGAUGUUCUCGUACCAAACUAGCUGUUACUUGUAUUUUAUCCUCUAAGUGUACUUGUAUAACAUUUCCUGGCUUAUAAUUGAGAUGAUAUGGAAAUCUUAUGAUUUACAUUUUUAUAGAAUUUUUGAGGCCUGUAGAUGUAUGUAAGUUGGAAAUGUCUUUGUUACCUGUGAAAGGCGCUGAUUUCUCACAAAUCGAUUCAGCAUUUACCACUAAUUAUAAUGUGUUAGGGAGUAAACAAGGUAGCGUGGGCUAUCAAGACUAGGUGUUGCUCAUAGUGGCAUUAAAAAUGAAGGGAAUUAGGGUAAAAGUUUUCUUGAGUUUCUGGCCCUGAUCCAUCAAGCAGUUGUUGAUGAAAUUCAUUACCUUUGUGUCUUGUUAAAGGCAGAGACCUAAUUGAAAAUCAGAGUUCUUUUGGAGAAAGAUCAAGUCAAGUACAGUAAAGAUUAUGGAGGAAGGGUUGGCUGACUAUAGUCUGAAGCCCACUGGUUUUUGCAAGCUAACACUGGUUUUUCUUUUCUUUCUUUCUUUCUUUCUUUCUUUCUUUCUUUUUUUUUUUUUAAAGUUUUAGUGAAGUAUAGUUGAUCUACAAUGUUGUGAUAAUUUCCGCUGUACAGCAAAUUGAUUCAGUUAUUCAUAUAUACACAUCCAUUUUUUUCAUAUUCUUUUCCUGUAUAGAUUAUCACAGAAUAUUGGGCAGAGUUUCCUGUGCUAUACAGCAAUUUCUUGUUGGUCAGUCAUUCCAUAUAUAGCACAGUGAGCAUAUACCAGUCUCAAACCCCUAGUCCAUCCCUCCCCCAACCUGUCCCCUUUGGUAACCAUAAAUUGCUAAUGAUGACUUUUUUAAAAGUUAAAUGGUUGAGAAAAAUCGAAAGAAAAAUACUUUAUAAUAGAUGAAAAUUAUAAAAAAUCCAAUUUCACAGUCUAUAAAUAAAGUUUUAUUGAAACACAGCUACAUAUACUCACUUGUUUAUGUAUUGUUUAUGCACAAAAAAGCCAGAAUUGAGUAGUUGUUACAUAGGCUGGAUGGUCCCACAGAAUCUAAAAUAUGUAGUAUUUGGAUCUUUAUAGCCAGAGUGCCAGGCCCUGUUAUAAAACAUCAAGAUUAGCUUAUGUGUUGGAGUACUAUGGCAAUUUAUGGAUUUUUUGCUUACUAAAAUCUCUAGCUGAUUACUACCACAUUUAUUGAAAGAUUCUCCACUGUUUUUUGCCUCUAGGACAACCCACAAUAGUUCAUUCAUGACUGCUUUUCAUGACUUCCUUUGCUUAUUUUCCAGUGGUUCCUUUUGCCAGAUAGAUGAACAGACCAAAACCACACAGGAAGGUCUGUGGCUUUUCUAAAGAAGCUUUCUACAGAUGAAUGUGUUUGGCUUGGGUACCUCUCUAGUUGUUGUAGAAACCUGGAUUUUGCUUUGGUCUUUACACUAGAGCUUUGAUUCAGAUACAUAUAAUAUGAUCCUCACUUUCCAAGUUAAAAUGAACAAACACAAUUAUUGUUAGAUCCAUGCUUGUGUGAGGAAAAUCUUAAUCUUUCAUAUUUUUGCCAGGCAUUUUAAUAAUGCUAGUUAUGUUUCUCAUGACUUUUAAUUUUAUAUCAAAGUUAGCUGAUGUAUAUUCUUUAUUGGUUAGCCUUAAAUAUUUAAACCAAUGUCUCUUUUUACAUUAAUCUUUUUGAUAGAAUAAACACAUCAGUGCUGUUCUAUCUCUUAUAAAAGUUAUUUCCCCCAUCUUUGCAGCUGUGGUUACUUGAUGUCAGUUCACUUGGGGCUUGUAUAAGAAGGGGGUGGCCCUACUACUUUGUAAGAAGUCCUAGCCUUGCAGCCACUGAGAGCUUUGGGUCCUGCCGCCAUUGCCACCAUUCUUUUCAAGCAUAGCAAACAGGUGUUUUCUAUCUAGAAAUCAGCUUUCUCUGAGAGUUUGGAUUUAAGUAAAGCAGAUCUUCUAUCCUGUUUCACCUUGCCUUUGGUCAUGGUUGAGCUUUUGUGCAUGGUGAGGAUGAUUUUUAACUUUGUCUUGGAAAAUGUAUAGCAUGGUUCUGGGUCAUGGUAUUGAGCUGAACAGUUGCCUUCUUAUAUCAUAGACCUGUUUUGUUACCUUGAUGCUUCUCUGUUAGCUUACUUAAAAGUUUUGGGCUCAUGCUGUUAGAGACUUCUUUGGGCAGAGAACCCUUUUUGCAGUGGAGUGGUCUCACAUAAUGGAAUAGGUCAUAGGGUAAUUGUGCAGUUCUGUAAGCAAAGCCAAUGAAGGUGGAAGGAAUGUGAAAAAGAAAUAGGCAGAGGCAGGCUGGAGUAGGUGGUAAGAAGCAUGGGAGAGCAGCAACUUGACUUCUUUAGUAAGACUGAGAGUAAAGGGAAGUUAUUCUAACUGAGAGUAAACUGACUCAUUAAGACAUUUGGACUUAACUGACUUGUUGGUGAGGAAGGUGAGAAUAGAAACUGGAGGGAAAACUCCAUAUUAUCAUUUCUGAAAUAACAGGAUGAGGUUUGUUUUUUGUUUUUUGCCAUUUCUUGGGCCACUCCCACGGCAUAUGGAGGCUCCCAGGCUAGGGGUUGAAUCGGAGCUGUAGCCACCGGCCUACGCCAGAGCCACAGCAACGCGGGAUCCGAGCCGCGUCUGCAACCUACACCACAGCUCACGGCAACGCCGGAUCGUUAACCCACUGAGCAAGGGCAGGGAUCGAACCCGCAACCUCAUGGUUCCUAGUCGGAUUCGUUAACCACUGCGCCACGACGGGAACUCAAGGAUGAGCUUUUAUAAUCUAACCCUGGGUCAGGGUUUUAAAAUGUUCAAUAACUGGGUUAUUGUAUGGGUCGGAAAUACGUAUUAUGGUAAAUGGUUUCAGGUUUAAGAGGAAAGGGUGAAAUGGGAGCUAAGUUCGUUCUCCUUCUCUGAGGAGGGUGAAGGGCUGUGGACACACCCAGCAGGAACUACUCUAGGUAGCAUAGCCAUGACAGGGAAAGAGAAGAGAUCUAUCUCAGUCCCUGAGCUGUCAUCUGCAGAAAACUUGGCACUCCCGGUCCAGGCUAUCUCAAUCAUGUUUUGAAAGGAGGGGUCACCUUCAGAAGCUUUAUAGCUGGCACUCAGGCCUUGUUGACCUAAGAGGUGGAACCCACCAGGCCAUGAAGCAUCCAGUAGGAAGGGCCUCCAACAGUUAUUUCUCUUGUGUUUUAUGAGUGUUUGUCUGUUCACCCCUAGGCUGAGUUAAUGGGGCCUAUCUCGAGAGGAACAGUGCUUGAGCAGUUGGAGGAAUCAGCCAUUCAAUGUAAAUGCACUGGAUUUGGACAAUACAUGCUGACUCCCUGGUUUCCCACCCUUGAGGUGGGACUGUUCCCAAAGCCCUAGGAUGAAAGAGGGGAUGGUGUGGGCUAGAGAAACAAGAAGAGCUACCUUCUGGGAGUUACAUGAGUUUUCUCAGGCAGCUGUAACUGGUUUAAAGUAGGAUCCUAGAUCCUUAGAGUUGGACUGGAUUUUGGGAAUCAUCCAAUUCAUCCUCCUCCUUUUGCUGGUCCAGGACUUAUCCCAGACUAGAAAGGUAAUGAGCGGCAGUGUUGAGGCUAGACCCCAGAUCUGUUGAUUCAAUAACUAUGCCUCUUCUGGCUUGGACUGUGAAGGGGUAAAUUGUAACAUGGAUCUGGGAUGGGAUUUGGGGGUGCAUUGUGGCCUCCUCAUAAGUCAGUAAGUUGCACUUAGGACAGUAGUCCCUUGGCCAUAGGCUAGAACAGGUGACCUACAAAGAACCUCUGACUCCUGUGACUUGUAACUGUGUGUUGAAGAGGACUGUGAUGUGAUUAUUUCUUUGUCUGAGGGGUGCACCUGGGUAUACUAGUGAGUCUUCUUUGCUGAGGGUAGAUGGGGCUAGAGAAGAUUUUUGGGGAGGAAGGCAGCGGGAUCUAGUUGAAGAUGUAUUCAUCCUGAAGCUGCAGUCAGAAGAACCUGCUCAGACUCUUUUAGAGGCCAGACAAGUAGUUAUCUACUGUGGCAUUUGGAAACUGGAAAGUAGAGAUGGAGGGCCUCAGUGGUUGCUGGGAGGGUGGGGGUAGUACAUAGUACAGGUCCUUUUAUGGUUAUAGCAUUCUGCACUUGAGUACUUAUUUCUGCUUAACUGACUAGUGCAACUCUCAUUUUAAGCUAGCACAAUAACUCUACACACUAUCCCUUUCAUUUAUUUAUCUUUUUAAUUUUUCCAUAUGUUGGGUUUGAACAUACACUAUAAAAAGAAUUUUUUUAAACUCUGACUGAAAUAUUUGGCAAACUGCAGGGUUGGUUUUAUUGGAAAAAAUGAACCUAGUUUUUGGAAAUGAUUUUUCUUGUUCUACUUGCAUUUGCUCUAUGGAGGUGGUUUGUGUAGUGGUUAAUAAGCAUAAGGACUCUGAGUGAAGUUACUUGGGUUGAAUCCUGGCUCUUUUAUGUAUAGUGUGUGAUUUUAUUUAAAUUAUUACCCUCCAUGCCUCAGUUUAAAAUAAGGAUAAUAACUCACAGAGUUGUUGUGAGGGUUAAAUAAGUUAAUACAUGAGUUAGAACAAUGCCCAGUCUACAUUAACUGAUGUUUACAAAUUAGCUGUUAUCACGUCCCAAGCGGUUGAUCUAAGCCAUUUAUCAUACAACUUAUAAGGUAGUUGAGGCUCAGAUGGUUUUAAAAACUUAAGAUCAUCCAGCUAAGAAGUGGCUAAGGUAUGUCUUAAACCUUCUUUAUCUGAUGCAAGGCCUAACUCUCAACCACUCUUUCUGAGGUGUGCUAGAUCAGCUAACUAUAGAUUGUAGGUUUUAUAGCUAUCUACCCAUCUACCCAACUAUACAUAUAUCUUCUAUUUACAAAUUUGGAUUUUUCUUUAUGUUCUCAUUUUACUAAUAAAUACAUUUCCUUAAAAAUAUCUGUGACUUAAGAAUUAUAAAAUAUACAAGAUAAAAUUUUUUUAAAUUGCUCUUAAAAUAAUGUUACUCAAAUAUUAGAUAAGAACUGUAAAAAUCCAUGGUAACAGUUAUAAAUUGUGAAAGGCUAAAAUGUCAUUUCAUGUGACAUCUGAUAAUGGCUAUCUGGGUUUCCACACACUGGUAAGUUGUGUGGAAAUUAAGACAGUUAUUAUUAAGCACUUUAAGCCUAUCAUUUUAAAACAAUCAUGGCAUUAAUGUUUUAACCAUUUGCACAUUUUAAUUACCAGGAAGAAACUAUAUCACAUUUUUAUAGCUGAUAGAAAGCUCCCCAGUCCCUACCCUAGAUUGAAAUAAAGAGAAUUAAGGCCUGAGAAGUCAGACAGGGCUGCUUAGCAACAGUGACAGGUGAGGUUGAUGAGAAUUAACAGCUUUUGACUGUUAGCAGAAUGGUGGUGUAAUGAGAUCGGCUUAUGGUAAUAAAGCAUUGACUAGCUGGCUGAAUGAAAUGAUGCUUUCUCAUUUAUUUCAUAAAAUUAUUAAUGUAAUAUUUAGCUCAGAAUGUUUAGAUUUCUGUAAUAUUCAUACUUUUGAUAUUUUAUUAAAAUAUAAAUAUUUUAAAUAUUCUAUAAAAUUUUAUUUUAUAGACUCAUAUUGUGUAUUGUCAGCUUUGUAAUUAUCUUAUGGAGAAACUUAUUCACUGGAAAGGAAAGUAGCAGAAUAAAAGCAAAACAAAACAUCCCACUACUCUAGUAAAACCACUCGAAACAACCAAUUUCUUAUCUUUCUCAAAAUAGCUGCAAUUUAGGGAAAUAUUAAUCUGUCUCUAAAUUGAAAAUUGUCCAACCAUCCAGGUUACUCAGAAAAAAAAAAGCUGUUUAAAAAUUUUAAUAAAUUUUAAUGGCAAUUAAGCCAUUUCUAUCUUGUCUCUGGCAAGGUGUAAAGAAUUGUUGUAUGAAGCAGCCAUUAUUAGGGUUUCUUUAAAGUUUUAGCCAGGGCAGAGUGAAGAUCAAAACAAUUGGCAGUGAAGGAAAAGAUGGCUCAGGGCAUGUGGCAAUAUGACAUUAAAGAUUACAUCAGAUACAGUCUGUCUUCGGAAUGACCAUAUGUCCUUUCCAUCUGAUGUCUGUUUCAGGACUCAAAGAAAUGAAUUAAAGGUUUUGGAUAUGCUUUAAAAGAGUGUUCCUUCAUCACCUGUAUUAGGUUUGUUUACAAAUCAGAUAUGUUUCAAAUGGAUCAAAUGUGCAUAAUAACAAAAUUGUAUUUUUCCUAAAAAUUUGGACGUUGAUUCCUUUUAGGUUCUGUGGGUUUGUAACAUUGAGUCCUAGGAUGAAGUAUAGAUAUUUUGUGUUCUUUUCACUUAGAGAAAGAAGAGAAUUUUUUUCCCUGGUUUUAAGCUAAAUACAGGAAUGAAAUGGAAAGAAAUAAUAGAAGAAAGACUUUUGUAGGGAUGACUUUUAAAGAAAAGGCAAGAAUUCCCUUGUAAUUAAGGAUCUGGUGUUGUUACUGUAGCAGCCUGAGUCGCUUCUUCUGUGGUACAGGUUUUAUCCCUGUCCUAGGAACUUCCAUGUGCCACAGGGAAGGCCAAAAAAAAAAAAAAAAACCAAAAACCAAAAA
rnacentral:lncRNA from 1 species